CUUCUAUAUAGCAUCUACUGUAGUGGGUGCACACAAUGCGCUCACUACGUGGAUGCUUGUGGUUUUUUGUAUUUUUUUUUUAAAUCAAAACGCAUGUUUUGAUCGAAUUUGCAAAUAUGUAUGCAUUUUCAUCCCAUUCGAAUUCAUCCCGCGAAAGCUCUGCUCCAUCGCAACCCGCGUCUGCUCCCGCAACCCAGCUCCUCUCGGCGACGCCAUCUCUCUCGUCAGUGCCAUUGAGCGGUGCUCCUCCGUCUGCCCAGUGCCUCCACUGUUCUGCGAGCUCGUUGAACGGAGCAAACAAGAUUUCAAUCCCGUGAACCUCCUUCCUCGCCAUGAACCCGCGUCUGUCGGCUUCCUCUUGCCAGCGCCACCUCGCGAAGGCAUCUCUCGGUUCAGGGCCAACUCGCGACGCUCGUUAAUCUGCCCAGCACCGCCUCUCCCCGCGAGCUGAUUGAACGGACCAAACCAGCAACAGGACUGAGUGCUCUGUUUCUCCAAAUGGUUUGCUAGGUUAUUCAGGUCAAGAAUAAUAUAUCUUAGUUUUCUGGUUUUGUGUGGCAUGAAAAUGACGAAAACCAGAUGAUCAAAGUUAAAGAGAAAUUUGACAAGUAAAACAAAGAGAAGUUGUCGGAAUUUUGUGAUGUCCUUGACAGUCCAAUUGCCAAGGCUACUACAAGGAAGGAAGACAUUGUUGCAAACCUGAUAUACUUUUUGGUGGCCCCUCAUGCUACAAAUACUGUGCUUCUUGCAGAAAAAGAGAAGUCAUGUAAAUCCAGCAAAAAACGGAAGAGGGUGGUCAGAGGAAGUUCAUCAUCUGGAAGUGCAGCUUCAAAACGUUCAGCAAAGGAUUUCAAACUCCUUAUAUUGAUAUACAACAAUUUUAUGAAGGUCUAAAUAUGGAAGUGGAGCAGCAAAUUCCAUUACUCUUGGUUGAGAGACAAGCACUAAAUGAAGCAAGAGAAGAAGAAAAGAAU